UUCCUACGGGAGGUAGCAGUGAGGAAUCUUGGACAAUGGAUGGAAAUCUGAUCCUGCCAUGCCGCGUGCAGGAAGACGGCCCUAUGGGUUGUAAACUGCUUUUGUAUGGGAGCAAUAAGGUCUAUGCGUAGACUGAUGAGAGUACCAUACGAAUAAGCAUCGGCUAACUCCGUGCCAGCAGCCGCGGUAAUACGGGGGAUGCAAGCGUUAUCCGGAUUUAUUGGGUUUAAAGGGUGCGUAGGCGGUUUGAUAAGUCAGCGGUGAAAUAUUUCAGCUUAACUGAAAGGGUGCCGUUGAUACUGUCAGGCUUGAAUAUGGUUGCUGUGGGUGGAAUGUGUGGUGUAGCGGUGAAAUGCUUAGAUAUCACACAGAAUAUCGAUUGCGAAGGCAGCUCACAAAGCCAUUAUUGACGCUGAUGCACGAAAGUGUGGGGAUCAAACAGGAUUAGAUACCCUGGUAGUCCACACUGUAAACGAUGAUAACUCGCUGUCGGCGAUACACAGUCGGUAGCCGAGCGAAAGCGAUAAGUUAUCCACCUGGGGGAGUACGACCGCAAGGUUGAAACUCAAAGGAAUUGACGGGGGCCCGCACAAGCGGAGGAACAUGUGGUUUAAUUUGAUGAUACGCGAGGAACCUUACCCGGGCUCGAACGGUGCAGGAAUACGUCAGAGAUGAUGUAGCUAGCAAUAGUCUGUAUCGAGGUGCUGCAUGGUUGUCGUCAGCUCGUGCCCGUGAGGUGUCGGCUUAAGUGCCAUAACGAGCGCACCCCUUUUCGUUAGUUGCCAUCAGGUAAUGCUGAGAACUCUAGCGAGACUGCCACCGUAAGGUGUGAGGAAGGGGGGGGAUGACGUCAAAUCAGCACGGCCCUUACGUCCGGGGCGACACACGUGUUACAAUGGGGCAUACAGAAGGUCGCUACCUGGCAACAGCAUGCUAAUCCCAAAAACCUCUCACGGUUCGGAUUGGAGUCUGCAACUCGACUCCAUGAAGCUGGUUCGCUAGUAAUCGCAUAUCAGCCAUGAUGCGGUGAUUCUUCCCGGCCUUUACACACCUCCAUCGUCC
rnacentral:rRNA from 1 species